rnacentral:tRNA from 1 species
GCAGGGAUGGCUGAGCGGUCUAAAGCGCACGCCUGGAACUGCCCUUUUCUUUCUUUAAAAAGAAAGAAAAGUGCAAGGUGCCCAAAAGAAAGAAAAUAGUGUUUGGGCAUGAGCAACAGCCAGCGUGUUCCUUCACGGGAGCAUGGGUUCGAAUCCCAUUCCCUGCG